UACGUAGGGCGCAAGCGUUAUCCGGAAUUAUUGGGCGUAAAGAGCUCGUAGGCGGUUUGUCGCGUCUGCCGUGAAAGUCCGGGGCUCAACUCCGGAUCUGCGGUGGGUACGGGCAGACUAGAGUGAUGUAGGGGAGACUGGAAUUCCUGGUGUAGCGGUGAAAUGCGCAGAUAUCAGGAAGAACACCGGCGGCGAAGGCGGGUCUCUGGGCCAUAACUGACGCUGAGGAGCGAAAGCGUGGGGAGCGAACAGG
rnacentral:rRNA from 1 species